GGAAGCGAUCAUACCAGCACUAAAGCACCGGAUCCCAUCAGAACUCCGAAGUGAAGCGUGCUUGGGUGAGAGUAGUACUAGGAUGGGUGACCUCCUGGGAAGUCCUCGUGUUGAAUUCC
rnacentral:rRNA from 1 species